GGUCCGGUGGCCGAAGGGUUAAUGGCGCCGGUCUUCACACGGUAGGACAGUGGUUCAAAUCCCAUCCAGACCA
rnacentral:tRNA from 1 species